UACGUAGGGGGCAAGCGUUGUCCGGAAUCAUUGGGCGUAAAGCGCGUGUAGGCGGCUGAGUAAGUCUGCUCUGAAAGCCCGGGGCUCAACCCCGGGAGGCGGGUGGAUACUGCUCAGCUCGAGUCCGGAAGAGGAGUGUGGAAUUCCUGGUGUAGCGGUGAAAUGCGUUGAUAUCAGGAGGAACACCGAUGGCGAAGGCAGCAAACUGGGCAUCAACUGACGCUGAGGCGCGAAAGCGUGGGUAGCAAACAGG
rnacentral:rRNA from 1 species